rnacentral:lncRNA from 1 species
UUCUGUUCUCAAUAUAUUAUUAAUUUCUAGGGGAGGCUAGAGAUAGCAAGCCGGUAAUUAGUAAUAGGCUCUUUUCGCCGAGGGAUCGGGUUAAGGGUAGGCCAAGAAAGUUUGCAUAACAAUUAGAUAAUCAAGCACAUUAAACAAGAGGAGUAGAUAAGAGGGAGCGAAUAAGAUGAAAUUGUCAACCCCCAACAACUCCAUUUAUCCAUAGUGUUUUUCGUCAAUUGAAUCAACCACAUUGCAUGUUUAUUUUUUGUCUUUGCAUUCACCACAAAUGAUUCUUUCUUUACAAGUCUUACGAUUUUGAUUCACACGAACGAUAAACGCCUUGUGAGUCUCUUGGGAAGAACGAUAUCAGGGACUACCGAUUAUAUUACUUGCACGAUCUGGUAUACUUGCCAGUGAGUCAAC